GAAAAAUGCUCUGGCGAGGUUUCUUCUUUCCGGCGACGCUCUGCAAAUCACGGCAGCUACAACAUCUCGUCUGCUGCCGAUUCAUCUUCGAACCCGUUUUACCCCAUUCCGUUCCCCAGCAAACCAGUCUCUUGAAUGCAGUAUGCAAGGUUUUUGAGAGAGGAGUUACUGUUGGGCCACGCUUAGUCGUACAAAAAUGGGA
rnacentral:misc_RNA from 1 species